rnacentral:tRNA from 1 species
UGCCGAGGUAGUCUAGCCCGGUAAGGCGAUGGUCUCGAAAACCAUUGGUGCCCUGCACCUCGGGAGUUCAACUCUCCCCCUCGGCGU